AUUAGUGGCAAGGGAACUAUGCUGUCUGGCUAGAUCACGCUGACGGCGUGCCUAACACAUGCAAGUCGAACGAGAAAGUGGAGCAAUCCAUGAGUAAAGUGGCGACCGGGUGAGUAACACGUGACUAACCUACCCUACAGUGGGGGAUAACCUCGGGAAACCGGGGCUAAUACCGCAUAACAUCGCAAGAUCAAAGAAGCAAUUCGCUGAAGGAGGGGGUCGCGGCUGAUUAGUUAGUUGGUGAGGUAACGGCCCACCAAGACGAAGAUCGGUAGCUGGUCUGAGAGGAUGGCCAGCCACACUGGAACUGAGACACGGUCCAGACUCCUACGGGAGGCAGCAGUGGGGAAUCUUGCGCAAUGGGCGAAAGCCUGACGCAGCGACGCCGCGUGGGGGAUGAAGCUUCUCGGAGUGUAAACCCCUUUCGACUGGGACGAAUGCCUCGCAAGAGGAGUGACGGUACCAGUAGAAGAAGCCCCGGCUAACUACGUGCCAGCAGCCGCGGUAAGACGUAGGGGGCCAGCGUUGUUCGGAAUUACUGGGUGUAAAGGGUUCGUAGGCGGUGUGGCAAGUCGGGAGUGAAAUCUAUGGGCUUAACUCAUAGUCUGCUUCCGAAACUGCUGUGCUGGAGUGUGGGAGAGGCGCGUGGAAUUGCAGGUGUAGCGGUGAAAUGCGUAGAUAUCUGCAGGAACACCCGUGGCGAAAGCGGCGCGCUGGACCACUACUGACGCUGAGGAACGAAAGCUAGGGGAGCAAACAGGAUUAGAUACCCUGGUAGUCCUAGCCCUAAACGAUCAGGACUUGGGGUGCGCACGUUCGUGCGUCGUCCCGGAGCUACGCGUUAGUCCUGCACCUGGGGAGUACGGUCGCAAGACUGAACUCAAAGGAAUUGGACAGGC
rnacentral:rRNA from 1 species